rnacentral:lncRNA from 1 species
UGAUGAGUAAGAUAUUCUUACAGAAUACUCCCUUUGAUGGCUUUCUGGGAUGUAUAUUGGGUGUCGUACUCUGUCAAUACCAUUUGCCAACGAGCAACCCUUCCGGUGAGAGCUGGCUUCUGUAACACCCCAAAAUUUGCCCUCCUCAUUCAUGCAUUCAAUUAGCAUUUCAUAUUGCAUUUCAUCAUGUCAAUCAGAAUUAGAUCCAAGAAACUUUUAAAAAUAAAUAAAUAAAUAAAUAAAUAAAAGAAAAAAUCUCAGAC